ensembl:lncRNA
AUUUUUUACUUUUACCCUUGCUUCCUUAGGAAAAGAUGCCCAUGCAGAGGCACAGCAAGGCGGAGGACAAGCUCUGAACAGCAGGAGAGAGGUCUUCCCGGAGAUCUGGAGGACGAGAGGCCGGGAGUAUGGAGCAGACCGUUUCCAAAGCCGUGCCCCAGGCCAGAAGCACAGCCUGGAUCUGCUUUCCAUAGCCGUGACCCAUUCUAACCAAUUCCCAACCAGCGAGACACUGCUUUCCCCGCGGCUGAAAGCUCCUCUGUGAGAG